rnacentral:misc_RNA from 1 species
UUUGUUUUAUUUCUGAUUAAAUAUGUGAAUAUGACGUUUUUGAAAAAAUGUUGUUCCUGCAUUCCGCAGCGCUACUUCCUCUGUGUGUUUAUAGUGCUGGGGAUGGUCGUCUGUUACCUGAUGAGAGGAUCUUUGAUACUGGCGCUCAACGAGAUGACCUUUCGGAUAAACAAGACUGUAGAGACCACCGAGAAGCACCAGUUCUGUCCCAUGGAGGAAGGGGGGGAAGGGAAAAAGCAAAAGGAGCAGACUAGAGCAGAGUUCCACUGGGACCAGAGGCUGCAGCACGACAUCAUCAAGUCGCUGUAUAUCGGGUACAUAUUAGCUCACUUACCAGCUGGUAUAAUAGCGGAUAUUAUCGGGGGCAAGCAAGUGUUCGGCGGUGGUAUCCUAGUGUCUGCCUUCGUCUCUCUGGGAACCCCUCCUUUGGCACGCCUCAGCCCGUACGCCGUCAUGGGAGGACGCAUCGUCCAAGGAUUUGGACAGGGGUGUAUGUUUCCUAGCACCAGCGCUCUGGUGGCCAAAUGGGCUCCUCCGAACGAGCGGUCCACAAUGACAGGAAUUGUACAAACUGGUGUGAUGUUUGGUAAUGCUAUCAGCUACGCGACAUCUGGGUUCAUUCUGGGAGCAUUUCCCACCUGGGAGCCUAUCUUCUACAUUGUAGGAAUUAUCGCUCUGAUGUGGUGUCUCGGUUGGUACCCCUUGUGUUAUAGCGCUCCCGCCAAUCACCCUUUUGUCACGGAAAAGGAGAAGACAAUGAUCGAGACGCAGAUCCGAGCCAACAUGAAGCAGAAACCUAGGAGUAUUCCGUGGAAAAGUAUCUUGACGUCUUUACCAUUUUUAUCAGCCGUGAUGAUAAACUUUGCCCACGCUUGGGCUCUCUUCACGAUGCUCAACGAAAUGCCAAAUUACAUGGGCAAAGUCCUCAACUUCUCUAUUCAGAAAAGUGGUGUGUUUGCAGCCCUGCCCCAUAUUGCCAUGAUUCCAACCUCUAUCGGCUGCGGAUACCUCUCUGAUUGGAUCCUCAGGAAGAACCUCAUGAGCAUCACACUCAACAGGAAGAUUUUCUCAUUCGCCGAGUGCAGCCUGUCGACUUGAGUCCGAACUUCGCUGGUGUACUGAUGGGUAUCAUGAAUGGAAUUGGAUCUUUUGCUGGCCUACUGUCGCCCGUUGUCACACCUUUCUUUCUGCACACUGGCGACGGGAGCAUAGAAGAGUGGCGCAACGUCUUCUACGUGGCCGCAGUCAUAAUGACCCUGUUCUCCAUCCCUUUCUUGUUCUUCGGUUCUGGCGAGGUGCAGCCUUGGAAUAACGCAGAAAUUGAUCCGGAACAAGAGGC